rnacentral:rRNA from 1 species
GUGCCUAAUACAUGCAAGUCGAACGCUUUGUGGUUCAACUGAUUUGAAGAGCUUGCUCAGAUAUGACGAUGGACAUUGCAAAGAGUGGCGAACGGGUGAGUAACACGUGGGAAACCUACCUCUUAGCAGGGGAUAACAUUUGGAAACAGAUGCUAAUACCGUAUAACAAUGACAACCGCAUGGUUGUUAUUUAAAAGAUGGUUCUGCUAUCACUAAGAGAUGGUCCCGCGGUGCAUUAGCUAGUUGGUAAGGUAAUGGCUUACCAAGGCGAUGAUGCAUAGCCGAGUUGAGAGACUGAUCGGCCACAAUGGGACUGAGACACGGCCCAUACUCCUACGGGAGGCAGCAGUAGGGAAUCUUCCACAAUGGGCGAAAGCCUGAUGGAGCAACGCCGCGUGUGUGAUGAAGGGUUUCGGCUCGU